CGAGCGUCUGUACUCCUUCCCUCCCCCAUGUGGAAUGGAAGGCGCAGCCGUGUCACGUGACCCACUUUGACACGUCACAUGACCAGGAAUGACCCACCACCUGGUCUCCGGAAAAAGAUCAGCCCUGACUGAGCUGCUGAGGUAUCUGAGACAGAACAAAGGAUCAUUGAGUUUCCAAACUGAAGACGGCAGUUCCUUGGCACAGCCCUUCACACUGCUAUUUCCUUUCCAACUGUCAUUCCCCUCUCCUUGAAUCCCCUCUCACCAUGUCUGGCUGACGGCGACCCAGAUGCCAUGUGAUGGUCAUUUGAAGACUGGAUUUCUGAAUAUCAGACAGGGAAUCAAAGUCUCUGAGUUACAAGAUGAAGAAUAAGAAAAGUCCUGAGUUGGGCAUGGCGGCACAAGCCUGUAAUCUCAGCACUUGGGAAGCUGAGGCAGGAGGAUCAAUUCAAGGCCAGUCUCCUAUGUCCACUCAAAGUCCAGCCUUUUCUCCUCAUGGAAUCUCAUAUUUGGAGGUAGAUCAUCUUUACAGUCUGCAUCUAUUGUCUGAGGCUACUUGCAUACGGUGAGCAGGCAGGUCUCACCCGCUGCCUGCUCACCGGUGCCCUCCGGCAGGCUCAGCACCCCACCUCCCUGCACCCAGCGGUAGCAGGGAAAAACUGCUUCGGCACUGGUUUCAGUGCCCUGCACGGUGAUGAGAUCGCAGAACCAGGCGUCGUCCACCACUGUGUGCUGUUUGUGAAGUUUCACGAACUGCAGCGGCCCCAGGUCCUCGGGAACAUCGAAGACAAACUCCUCCUCCUGUGGGGACCAGACACGCCAGACUGAGUAGCAGGCACUCUAGAAGCCUUCUGUGGCUGGAGCCGGCCUUUGGGGAGCCUGUUUACCACAGAGGGCAGAGAACAUCUGGCUUCCGCCCCUCCCACCCUCAAAUCUGUCGGCUGGGUCUAAAGUGUCCAUUCUGGGCCAGUCUGCAGCACGCUGACCACAGUGCUCUGAACCGACGACGGGGCACCGUCAUCACCUGUGCCAUCCCAGUCUGCGCUCCCACCACACUCGUGCUUGGAAGAGGUCACGUCUGACCACAGAAACCAACGCUCCAGUUGCCUGUUUGAGUUGUAGAAGCUUGGCCGUUAUCACUGGGAAGAAGAGGACUGAGGACUCAACACAGUGUGCUGGCUUUUACUGGAUUCUGUUUUCACAGGACACAUCUGCUAAUGUUCCCCAGUCUAGAGUCUCUGCUGUGUCAGUGGAUACACUUCCGGUCUUCUGUUGGGGAGGAGGAGGGAGAAUGGCUGACUGAUUGGGACGAUGGGAGAAUAUGGGGGCCAUUUGCUUUUCAGACAGAUUUUCAAUCAGCCCUACUAUAUCCAACCUUAAUUGUAUUCCUACCUUCAAAGUUAUUGAUACUCCAAUUCCUGAAUCUUUCUGAACAUGAAUGUUUUUUAAUUAUAUUGUGUGUGUGUGCGUGUGCGUGUUUGUACAUGCCAUAGCAUGCAUGUGUAGAACAACUUGCUGGAGUUCCCUUUCUCCACCAUGAAGAUUCCUGGGAUUAAACUCAGAUUGUCAGCCUUGGUGGUAAAUAGCUCUACCCACUGAGCCAUCUCGCCAGACUAUAACCAUGUUUUGGACAACCAAACACUGCAAGCAUUUGACUUUGUUCUGCUAAAUUAAUUACCACUUGCUCAUCUGCUUUCAGCUUUCAAAACAGAGAUAUUGUCUCUUACUAACUCUUGUAUCAUCUCCCAAUUCUCCUUGUGUUAGUGGGCCUAGGUACUGCCUUUUAAAUCAAAUAACUGGCUGUUUAGGUGGGGAGGGAGGAAAGCAAAAAAGGGAGGAGGCUCUAUUCUUCAUAAUUAACUACAAGGGCAUCCUCUCCUUCCUCCAUCCCUCCCUCCAUCCCUUCCUCCCUCCCUCAUCCCUCUCUCCCUCCCUCCUUCCCUUUCUCCCUUCAGGGUCUCAUGGCUGUCCUCUAAAUUACAAUGUAAAUUGUAAUCUUGAAUUCCUUAUCCUCCUGCCUUCAGCUCCCAAGUGCUGGGAUUACUAGCAUGAACUACUGUGCCCAGCAAGGAUAUUAUUUAGUUUUUAAAGAUUUAUUUUUAAAAAUUAUGUGUAUAAGUGCUGGAGAGAUGCCUCAGCAGUUAACACCACUGGCUGCUCUUGCAGAGGCCCUG